UUUUUGCGAUGGAGUCUCUCUCUGUCAUCCAGGCUGGAGUGCAAUGGCACGAUCUCGGCUCACUGCAACCUCCGCCUCCCUGGUCCAAGCGAUUCUCCUGCCUCAGCCUCCUGAGUAGCUGGGAUUACAGGUGCAGGCCACCACACCUGGUUAAUUUUUGUAUUUUUAGUAGAGACUCCUUCUGAGGAGGGGGCAACAACUGAGGUCACUGCAGACCUGUAUGGAUGCUGUGAGAUUGAUGCUCGCCCCAGCGUGAGGGAGGGGUGUGGCGUCCUGAUCAGGAGAGGAGGAAAUUCACCUGAGACACAGGUGAGCCCGCAAAUCAGCACCUGUAUGCGACAGACGCACUCCUCAGGGGAGUCUCGGUGGAUACGACUGGAGGAAAAGACAGCAGAGAACAAAUAUUUAGCUCUAGUUGAUUGCAAACAUUAUUUUCGCCCAAUACUUUUUUAAACACAAAUAUUCUUGACUUAAGAAAACGAAAAAGCGGUUAAUAGGACUUUGCUGUACAAGACUAAACCUGUCCUAUGGGCUGACCUGAAUUAAUAUAAAUAGUAGAUCAUAGUGUCUUGAUACUUUAUUUCUAUCCCAGGUUAUUUUGAAGCUAAUUAAGCACAGAAAUAUGAAACCAUGCUAAGAUUCUAAAGAAGCAACUGUUUCCCCAACAUUUUUCUCCAUGAAUUCCAAAUGUCUCUGGGGGGCAUUCCCAUAGGGUGGGUUUACGCUUAAUAAUUCAGUUGAAAAUGCAGCCUUUAUUUUAAAUCUUUGUGAUCUAUCUUCCUUUUUAAGCUUUUAAAUCUGUUCUCAGUCAACUGGUUUUGAAGGCAGAGAAACAAGUUUACACUGGAAUUCAUGUACAGUUAAUGAUCUCUGUACUGCUCACUGGGUGAUGUUUUCACACACUUUCAAAGUCUAGGGGAAAAACAUGCUAAUGAACAUUAUCAUAAGUUACCAAAAGGUGAAAGUUCUUUUCUAGAACUAGAUAUUUAAAGGCCACUGCUAAACUGCCCCGUUGAUUUCUCCAUGUGGCUUAUUAAUGACAGAAAACCAAAUGACCAACUAUUAAAUUUUUAUCAACUCAGUAAGUCAUAUGGUACAAGCCCAUUAGACUCAUACUUUUCUUUCCUUCGUUCCUUUUUUGUUUCUUGUGGUGUGUAUGGUGGCGAAUCUCACUGUGUUCGGGAUAGAACUCUUGGUGGCCAUCAGUGAAGUGUGAGGAAGAAAUGGUAGCAACGAGGGUCUCACACACAAGAUUGGAGGUGGAGGCCCCCAGCGCCCAAGGAGGGCAGACAUCAAGCCCCUAUAACUGGCUGUCUCUGUGGCAGCCAGGCCAGGGAGUCCACCGCAGCCCCCGGGAGAGGCAGGGAAGUGGCUGGGGAGCCAUCUCCCUCAAGUCAAGUGCACUGUCCCAGAAAACUGCAGACAGUGGAAGGACAGAGCACUCCCAGCUGUCAGGAACGGGCUCUUGACCCUUAAUUGGGGACAAACUCAGAAACGUUCACCCAGGAUUUGGAGGUUGGUAUGAGGACUGAGGGCAUUGGCUGCAGGU
rnacentral:lncRNA from 1 species